rnacentral:rRNA from 1 species
GUAGGUGGCAAGCGUUGUCCGGAAUUAUUGGGGCGUAAAGCGCGCGCAGGCGGUUCUUUAAGUCUGAUGUGAAAGCCCACGGGCUCAACCGUGGAGGGUCAUUGGAAACUGGAGAACUUGAGUACAGAAGAGGAAGGCGGAAUUCCACGUGUAGCGGUGAAAUGCGUAGAGAUGUGGAGGAACACCAGUGGCGAAGGCGGCUUUCUGGUCUGUAACUGACGCUGAGGCGCGAAAGCGUGGGGAGCAAACAGGAUUAGAUACCCUGGUAGUCCACGCCGUAAACGAUGAGUGCUAAGUGUUAGGGGGUUUCCGCCCCUUAGUGCUGCAGCUAACGCAUUAAGCACUCCGCCUGGGGAGUACGGCCGCAAAGGCUGA